ACCAAACCAGUACUAAGAUCAAAUCCAAUACUAAUCCUGACUACAUUUAUGUUUGACUAAGAGGCCCCUAUUUACUCCAACGGCAAAACGAAAAAAAAGACCACACCUAUACUGGUCAUGAGAACUACUGACUCUCAUCCACUGAAUGACACAGCACUUUUCCUCCGGUCACAUGAUGACAAUCAGGCCAGAAAUGGUUGCCAAGGAAGCUCUCUCUCCCUCACAAAGCCUCUGUCCUGAGUCAUAUAGGUUGCCAGAGUUUUACCAAUCUAAAAUGAUUCAGCAUCGAUCACAUAUUGCUUUUUGCUGUUUGCACACAAAUAAAUGUAUUCUGAGUGUCACAUA